CGGCAGGCUUAACACAUGCAAGUCGAGCGGGGAAAGGUAGCUUGCUACCUGACCUAGCGGCGGACGGGUGAGUAAUGCUUAGGAAUCUGCCUAUUAGUGGGGGACAACAUCUCGAAAGGGAUGCUAAUACCGCAUACGUCCUACGGGGGAAAGCAGGGGACCUUCGGGCCUUGCGCUAAUAGAUGAGCCUAAGUCGGAUUAGCUAGUUGGUGGGGUAAAGGCCUACCAAGGCGACGAUCUGUAGCGGGUCUGAGAGGAUGAUCCGCCACACUGGGACUGAGACACGGCCCAGACUCCUACGGGAGGCAGCAGUGGGGAAUAUUGGACAAUGGGGGGAACCCUGAUCCAGCCAUGCCGCGUGUGUGAAGAAGGCCUUUUGGUUGUAAAGCACUUUAAGCGAGGAGGAGGCUACCGAGAUUAAUACUCUUGGAUAGUGGACGUUACUCGCAGAAUAAGCACCGGCUAACUCUGUG
rnacentral:rRNA from 1 species